CGUGCCUAACACAUGCAAGUCGAACGAAGCACUCUGGUUGGAGAUCGUCGAAGACCGGAUUGACUUAGUGGCGGACGGGUGAGUAAUGUAUGAGCAACCUGCCUUUCAGAGGGGGACAACAGUUGGAAACGACUGCUAAUACCGCAUAAUGUAUUUGGGUGGCAUCACCUGGAUACCAAAGGAGCAAUCCGCUGAAAGAUGGGCUCAUAUCUGAUUAGUUAGUUGGCAGGGUAACGGCCUACCAAGACUGCGAUCAGUAGCCGGACUGAGAGGUUGAACGGCCACAUUGGGACUGAGAUACGGCCCAGACUCCUACGGGGAGGCAGCAGGUGGGGAAUAGUUGGGCAAUGGGCGAAAGCCUACGACCCAGCAACGCCGCGUGAAGGAAGAAGGUCUUCGGAUUGUAAACUUCUUUUAUGAGGGACGAAGGACGUGACGGUACCUCAUGAAUAAGCCACGGCUAACUACGUGCCAGCCGCAGC
rnacentral:rRNA from 1 species